ensembl:miRNA Gm22396 predicted gene, 22396
CCGCCCCCCACCUCGUCUUUCCCCCUUAGGAGAAGUCGGGAAGGUGGCAGCGG